rnacentral:rRNA from 1 species
UGGGGAUAUUGCACAAUGGGGGAAACCCUGAUGCAGCGACGCCGCGUGGGUGAAGAAGCGCCUCGGCGCGUAAAGCCCUGUCAGCAGGGAAGAAAAUGACGGUACCUGAAGAAGAAGCCCCGGCUAACUACGUGCC